UUUGCGAGGGGAAGAUUGCUCCAGCUGACUUUCAGCUGACGAAUUGUAGUUCGAUUCUGCUCCUGCUCCUUCCAUUGCCAUUUUCGGAGAGUAUAAUCACUGUGUGUGUGUGUGUGUUUUAAAGAAGAAUGUGAGAAGGUAGAGAUUUAUUAGAAGAAGAGGAAAUGGAAAGAAAGUGGAAGCAUGUGCUCUGUGUGUGUGUGUGUGUGUGUGUGUUUUUAAGACGAAUGUGAAGAAGGUAGAGAUUUAUUAGAAGAAGAGGAAACGGAAAGAGAGUGGAAGCAUGUGUUGAAGAAGGGGAGUGAGAGGUGCUUUGCCGGGAUGAACAAGACUUUUCUGGUGUUUUAUUUUAGACCUUGAAAACCGCCUCUUU
rnacentral:lncRNA from 1 species